UCCCUCUCUCCUCCAAUUCACUAUUAAGCAUAGACCGAUCAUGUUUUAAUUUAAACAGUGGAAUAAAGGAAGGCUCCCAAAGUGGAAAAUUGAGGCAUCAAGCUUCCAAUCCAAGUCCAUU